rnacentral:rRNA from 1 species
UUAGAUACCCUAGUAUUUUUAGGGUAAAAGGGGAAUUAGUAUAAAUUUUUGAAAAUUAAUAGUUUUGGCGGUUAGUUAUUGAUUGGGGGAGCUUGUUUUGGGAAAGAAUUAACUCUUUGUAUUUAUAAAUUUAAUUGUUUAUUCAUCUCCGUUAUUACAGAUGGGUAUAUUCCAUUUUUAGAAAAAAUUUUUUAGAAUUUCAGGUCAAGAUGUAGCACUAUCUUUUAGAUAAAAAUUAGCUAAGUUUAUAAAGGGGGUGAAGUUAUGUUAGGUAAUAUAUAGAUGAAGUAAAUUUAGUUGUAAUAGUGUCUAAAAAGGGAUUAUGAAACGAGUUAACUAGUGUACAGAUUGCCCGUCACUUCUAUUUAUGAGGUAGAAUAAGUCGUAACAAAGUA